UAGGGAAUCUUCGGCAAUGGGGGCAACCCUGACCGAGCAACGCCGCGUGAGUGAAGAAGGUUUUCGGAUCGUAAAGCUCUGUUGUAAGUCAAGAACGGGUGUGAGAGUGGAAAGUUCACACUGUGACGGUAGCUUACCAGAAAGGGACGGCUAACUACGUGCCAGCAGCCGCGGUAAUACGUAGGUCCCCGAGCGUUGUCCGGAUUUAUUGGGCGUAAAGCGAGCGCAGGCGGUUUGAUAAGUCUGAAGUUAAAGGCUGUGGCUCAACCAUAGUUCGCUUUGGAAACUGUCAAACUUGAGUGCAGAAGGGGAGAGUGGAAUUCCAUGUGUAGCGGUGAAAUGCGUAGAUAUAUGGAGGAACACCGGUGGCGAAAAGCGGCUCUCUGGUCUGUAACUGACGCUGAGGCUCGAAAGCGUGGGGAGCGAACAGGAUUAGAUACCCUGGUAGUCCACGCCGUAAACGAUGAGUGCUAGGUGUUGGAUCCUUUCCGGGAUUCAGUGCCGCAGCUAACGCAUUAAGCACUCCGCCUGGGGGAGUACGACCGCAAGGUUGAAAC
rnacentral:rRNA from 1 species